rnacentral:rRNA from 1 species
UACAGAGGGGGCAAGCGUUAUUCGGAAUUAUUGGGCGUAAAGGGCGCGUAGGCGGCCAUUCAAGUGACGGGUGAAAGCCCUCGGCUUAACCGAGGAACUGCCUGUCAGACUGGAUGGCUUGAGACCGGGAGAGGUGAGUGGAAUUCCCAGUGUAGCGGUGAAAUGCGUAGAUAUCGGAAGGAACAUCAGUGGCGAAAGCGACUUCCUGGACCAAUACUGACGCUCAUGUGCGAAAGCGUGGGGAGCAAACAGG